GUCUCGCCAGGCUGUCAUCGUGUCAUCCAGAACAAAAGUCAACUAAGCCUCCAGGAAUAGUGAAAAAUGUGACAAAAUCAUUAGGAAAUGUGGGGAACUCAAUUUGUUUAUAUGAUAAAAACAUAAGCAUGUGACAAUCUUUAGUGACGUUUUAGGAAAACAUUCCUGAGUGCACAAUGCGCUUCAACAAACAGGAGCUGGUAGCCCUGGCCAUGCAGCCUUCAACCAAGUUUGAAAAGGAAGGCAUCUUAUACAUAAGGGAAAGGCAAGAGGGAUUCUUCAGAAAAUCUGAGAGAGGCAAGAAGGGCAAAUUGGCAAAACAUGAAAAAAGGCUUCGAAACUUGAGUUGUGUGGGGGGAAUUACUAAAGUAAGCCUGGAAAGAUGGUGUCGGUUAAGAGGCAAUUUACUUUUUUACUUCAAGAGCAAAGACCCAUUUUCGGAACCGUUGGGUGUAGUCGUCUUAGAACAGUGCCAGACCAGGAUAGACCCUCCCAUGGCAUCUCCACCUUUGACACAUGAUGGACACUAUCCAUUUUAUUUAGUUUUUGAUGGUGGUUUAUCCCAAGCGUUAGCUUCGACUUCGGAAUACGAACGGUCAAGCUGGAUGGAAGCAAUUAGAAAUGCGAGCUACGAAGGGGUGAGAGCGGAAUUAAACGCUUUGAGACAGUGCCUGGAAAGAAAAAGAAACCACAAACCGACCGUAGAUUUACAAACUUGGAGGCUGCAACAAAAUCAUACAUUAGAUAUAUCGGAGAUCCCAAUAUAUGAAAUGGCUAUGGCCUGUGAUAAUUUAUUAUGUGAUGGACACGGUCGACCACCAAAUCCAACUUUGGAGGUGGACACAUAUAUGCCGGCACAGAAAACUUGGGUACAAUAUGGACGCACCGAAAUUAUAGAGAAAAGUAGCAACCCGCAGUUCCUUAGCACCAUCAGCUUCCGAGCAUCAGACGGUCUUACAGGAGAUUCCCGUAUUAAAUUCACAAUUUUCGACGUACAAGAGCGAAUUUCCCAAACUGCUGUUCCGUUAGGGUCUUCCUGUGUCUUACUGAGUGCCAUUCAAGAUUCUACUAGAUUAAGAAUACCAUUGUUGUCUCGUCAGAAUACCACUGCAGGCUUUUUAACAGUGUGCGCCUGGGCUUUAGAAGGAGAGGACAGAAAUACUUCCAACGAACAUACACCAGCUAGGGUUCCUAGUGUUAGUCACGCACAACAUGUUUGGUCGCAUAGGAGAUCGCAAUCUUUGCCACCACGUUUAGGAGUCCGAAUACGUCUUCCCAGCCAAACCGAUUUGAAACUUCUCUUUUCGUCACCUCAUUUACAAACAUACAGGUUCCAUUCUGGUUUGGGCGGAGAUAUUUCUGUACAUGAAUACAUGGCGGAGAGCAAGAUGUGUUUCAGUUUUCCUCACCAAAUGCUAGACGUAUGGAUUCAACAAGAAAAAGAACUACUACAAGAAGUAGCAGGUAUGGGUGAACUUAGAGAGCCAUGGCAUUCCCGACAAGUUGAACUACUAGACAGGCAUCUGCAUCUUUUAAGAUUAUAUUCACAAGCUCGAGAAAAUCUCCAAGCACACAAAGGCCCGUACUUCAAAAAAAGUUCACGCAAAAGCGACAGAAGUUUGGAAUUCGUGCCGAUCAACAUGCACUUGCAAAGAAUGUGGGUUUAUAACGACGCACUGAAUAAAUCGAACUUUUACGAUUGGGUGACGGUCGGUGCGUUUACUGCGCACAGUCACCGAUCUAAAAACGGCGGACUCAUUAGAUUAGUACAGCAGCUGAAGGAGUCACCUGUAAAAUCGAACACAAACUAUCAGAUCGCCACUAAAAUUUCGAUGGCUAACGAUGCCAUUCAAGCUAUAAAGCAACUUAGGAAGGAGGUAGUUGAGUCCAUGAAAACUCUUAUGAGACUAGCAAAAGAGAAACAGACCAACGGUAUGCUUCCAAUAUGUGAUGAUAUGAUUAAUAAAACUAGGAUAUUACUUAGUCUUUGGGAUCCGGGUUUGGUUGAGGAAGCUUUGAAUUUUAUUGAGGAGCACAAGCUGGUUCAGGCUGAUGAUUCUGGUCUUAGUGAGGAUUUAAGUUUAGAAAGCGUUAGUGGCCGUCCAAGUUUGUUAUUAUCACCUUUCAAACGGAUAACCCAACAGUUAACUUCGUUGGAUCUCAAGAGUCCCGAAUUAGAAGAUUUCGCUACUCCGUGUGUGCAAAAAACUAUGGCAGACUUAUGGAAAGUCCCAAAACUUGAAGACUCCCAACCCCAGAACCUGUUAAACACCAGUGAUGGCUUAAAGACUUUGUGCUCCAAUAUGAAAACACCCGAUGAAGCGAAUUUUGUGAUUUUCCCGGACGUGGAAGAUAGCAAUCUCGAGUCGUCACUAGAUAGUGGUCAACCGGAUAGCUUACCACAUACUUACUCUUAUACUAACGGAGAUGCACCUCCGUCCGGUUCAAGGAACCCCAUUCGUCCAGAUCAAGAUACAAGCACUAAACUUUUCUUGGAUACUAAUGCCAUGUGCAACUCGCCUUCUGCCAACUAUUAUAAACCUACAGAUGAACCAGAACCUUGGGAUAUUACUCAACUAAAUAUCGAAGCCAGUGUCAUGUGUUUAGUUAGUAAAGUUAAGUUUUUAUGUGGCCGAUGUGGCAGCCCUGCGGUAAGACUUAAGCAACAGCAAUCUAAUAACAGGCGAAAAGUGAUUCCUACGUCAAAUAUUAUCGAGGAAAAUGACGAAAACAAAACUGUCAAUAAGGCUGUGGUAAGAAACGGAAACAAAUUCACUGACGGAUUGGAUUUGAACAAAAUCAGCGAUUGGUCAGCGGAAUUGAGACCAAGCAUGCGCAAAUUAAGACAAGCCAUGGAUGGCUUAUUGAAGACUGCGCGUUUAACUCAUUCAGUGUUUAGGGUGCAAGAAGAUCCUAAAGCCGCCCAAAGAGUCUGCAACGUUAGGUAUCGCAGAGACGUUUGUUUUUCGCAAGCACUUACAUCCUUAGUUGUGGGAUUAAUGACCCGUUUAUGGUGCCAUAAAGCUGACCCCGCUUACGUCGCAACUUUGGGCCAAUUGGGACCCUUGGCCCACUUCGAAGGGCUGCUCAGCUACUACGGUGACGAGAUCGACAUGUGGGGCGACAUGUCGGUCGCUAUAGAAGACCUAAGGACCGUUUUAUUUGUUUUAGCUAGGAGUCCCAGUCCGUCUGUUGAAACUGUGCCUACGCCCAAAGUAUCGGGUACCCGCAAUAGCCUAACUGUAACCCUUCCAGUACCUGAUAGCCUGUACAGCUUGUUACCUUCAAAGCAAACUUAUAGUUUCCAUGUUACCCCAGUAUUUUUUAAUAUAGGUCUGAUGAUGCCCUAAUGCGGCGAAACGCGUAACCUUUAAAUAGACGCUUGAUUUAUGAGACUUGGACUUUGAGUUUACUUUCUCCCCCCAUUUGUUCAAAAUGGAAAUCACCAAAGCCAAGAAGCGUCCAAUUUUGACAUGCAUUAAUGAUGUUUUCACCUUUGAGCCAGGACUUACAGUGUGGCAGACGGAUCUGAAACACUUCGGCCUGAGGUAUAAAUGAAAGAGCAACUUUAGCAGAGAGCCUAGGCAGCACAAAACCUCAAGACCGUUCAAAUAUUGACAACUAUAGUCGAUUAUACGAAUAUUUCUUGAGAUAUAGAAAAAUA
rnacentral:misc_RNA from 1 species